CAACAACCAAAGAUAAUGGUGGUCAUUGUUUCUGUGUCAGGUGGGAGAGGAGCAGGGUCAAGAGAACCCUCCAGACCACGACCCCAUUCACGACCAGAGCUGGUACCUGGACCAGGUGCUCCGCCGCAGGCUCUAUGAAGAAUACGGCGUCCAGGGUUGGGCCAUUGUACAGUUCUUAGGAGAUGCCGUGUUUAUCCCUGCUGGAGCGCCACACCAGGUGCACAACCUGUACAGCUGUAUCAAGGUGGCAGAGGACUUUGUGUCUCCUGAGCACGUGAAGCACUGUUUCAGACUGACCCAGGAGUUCAGACACCUGUCCACUACUCAUACAAACCACGAAGACAAGCUACAGGUGAAGAACAUCAUCUUUCAUGCAGUGAAGGACGCUGUUGGGACACUGAAGGCCCAUGAACCUAGACGCCCUUAGUUCCUCUCACUCAACGCUGUCCCAAAAACAACCACUACACACACACACACACACACACACACACACACACACACACACACACACACACACACACACACACACACAC